UACGUAGGGUGCGAGCGUUAAUCGGAGUUACUGGGCGUAAAGUGUGCGCAGGCGGCAAAGCAAGUCGAGUGUGAAAGCCCCGGGCUUAACUUGGGAAUUGCGCUCGAAACUACUUUGCUGGAGUGUGGCAGAGGAAGGUGGAAUUCCACGUGUAGCGGUGAAAUGCGUAGAGAUGUGGAGGAACACCAAUGGCGAAGGCAGCCUUCUGGGCCAACACUGACGCUCAUGCACGAAAGCGUGGGGAGCAAACAGG
rnacentral:rRNA from 1 species